rnacentral:rRNA from 1 species
UACGGAGGGUGCAAGCGUUAUCCGGAUUCACUGGGCUUAAAGGGUGCGUAGGCGGGUAAGUAAGUCAGUGGUGAAAUCUCCGGGCUUAACCCGGAAACUGCCAUUGAUACUAUUUGUCUUGAAUACUGUGGAGGUCAGCGGAAUAUGUCAUGUAGCGGUGAAAUGCUUAGAUAUGACAUAGAACACCAAUUGCGAAGGCAGCUGGCUACACAAAUAUUGACACUGAGGCACGAAAGCGUGGGGAUCAAACAGG